rnacentral:rRNA from 1 species
CGUAGGUGGCAAGCGUUGUCCGGAUUUAUUGGGUUUAAAGGGUGCGUAGGCGGUCUUUUAAGUCAGUGCUGAAAUAUCCCGGCUUAACCGGGAGGGUGGCAUUGAUACUGAAGGACUUGAGUAAAGUUGAGGUAGGCGGAAUUGACGGUGUAGCGGUGAAAUGCUUAGAUAUCGUCAAGAACACCGAUAGUGUAGACAGCUUACUAAGCUUUAACUGACGCUGAGGCACGAAAGUGUGGGGAUCAAACAGGAUUAGAUACCCUGGUAGUCCACACUGUAAACGUUGAUGACUCGAUGUUAGCGAUACACAGUUAGCGUCUUAGAGAAAUCGUUAAGUCAUCCACCUGGGGAGUACGCCGGCAACGGUG